rnacentral:rRNA from 1 species
GACGAACGCUGGCGGCGUGCUUAACACAUGCAAGUCGAACGGAAAGGCCCUGCUUGCGGGGUACUCGAGUGGCGAACGGGUGAGUAACACGUGGGUGAUCUGCCCUGCACUUCGGGAUAAGCCUGGGAAACUGGGUCUAAUACCGGAUAGGAGCCAUUUUUAGUGUGAUGGUUGGAAAGUUUUUUCGGUGUAGGAUGAGCUCGCGGCCUAUCAGCUUGUUGGGGGGGUAAUGGCCUACCAAGGCGGCGACGGGUAGCCGGCCUGAGAGGGUGGACGGCCACAUGGGGACGGGGAUACGGCCCGGACUCCUACGGGGGGCAGCAGUGGGGAAUAUUGCACAAGGGGCGCAAGCCGGAGGAAGCGACGCCGCGUGGGGGAUGACGGCCUUCGGGUUGUAAACGCCUUUCGCUAGGGACGAAGCUUUUGUGACGGUACCUAGAGAAGAAGCACCGGCUAACUACGUG